rnacentral:rRNA from 1 species
CAGUCGCCGCGGGAAUACGAAGGGGGCUAGCGUUGUCCGGAUUUACUGGGCGUAAAGCGCACGUAGGCGGAAAUUUAAGUCAGGGGUGAAAUCCCGAGGCUCAACCUCGGAACUGCCUUUGAUAUUGGGUUUCUUGAGUCCGGAAGAGGUGAGUGGAACUGCGAGUGUAGAGGUGAAAUUCGUAGAUAUUCGCAAGAACACCAGUGGCGAAGGCGGCUCACUGGUCCGGAACUGACGCUGAGGUGCGAAAGCGUGGGGAGCAAACAGGAUUAGAUACCCGGGUAGUCCCUGUCUCUUAUAA